rnacentral:rRNA from 1 species
UACGGAGGGUGCAAGCGUUAUCCGGAUUCACUGGGUUUAAAGGGUGCGUAGGCGGGUUGGUAAGGCCGUGGUGAAAUCCCCAAGCUUAACUUGGGAACUGCCGUGGAUACUAUCAAUCUUGAAUAUCGUGGAGGUAAGCGGAAUAUGUCAUGUAGCGGUGAAAUGCUUAGAUAUGACAUAGAACACCAAUUGCGUAGGCAGCUUACUACACGAUCAUUGACGCUGAGGCACGAAAGCGUGGGGAGCAAACAGG